AAAGUCGUAACAAGGUUUCCGUAGGUGAACCUGCGGAAGGAUCAUUAAAGUAAAAAAUCUACAAGCUUGCUUGUGGGAUUCUUACACCCUUUGUUUACAAACACUUAUUGUUUCCUCGGUGGGCUCGCCUGCCACUAGGACUCUUUAAACUCUUGCAAUUAAGAAGUAUCAGUAUUUAAAAUAAUUAUUUACAACUUUCAACAAUGGAUCUCUUGGUUCUG
rnacentral:misc_RNA from 1 species